rnacentral:rRNA from 1 species
CAGCAGCCGCGGUAAUACGGAGGGUGCGAGCGUUAAUCGGAAUUACUGGGCGUAAAGCGCGCGUAGGCGGUUUGUUAAGUUGGAUGUGAAAGCCUACGGCUCAACCGUAGAACUGCAUCCAAAACUAUUAGGCUAGAGUGUGGGAGAGGAAGAUGGAAUUAGUUGUGUAGGGGUAAAAUCCGUAGAGAUAACUAGGAAUACCAAAAGCGAAGGCAAUCUUCUGGAACAUUACUGACGCUGAGGCGCGAAAGCGUGGGGAGCAAACAGGAUUAGAUACCCUGGUAGUCCACGCCCUAAACGAUGAAUGUUAGUCGUCGGGUAGCUAGUCUAUUCGGUGAUGCAGCUAACGCAUUAAACAUUCCGCCUGGGGAGUACGGUCGCAAGAUUAAAACUCAAAGGAAUAGACGGGGACCCGCACAAGUGGUGGAGCAUGUGGUUUAAUUCGAAGAUACGCGAAGAACCUUACCUAGCCUUGACAUAUAUUAGAACUCACCAGAGAUGGAGAGGUGCCUUCGGGAGCUUUUAUACAGGUGCUGCACGGCUGUCGUCAGCUCGUGUCGUGAGAUGUUGGGUUAAGUCCCGCAACGAGCGCAACCCUCGUCACUAGUUACUAACGGUUCGGCCGAGGACUCUAGUGAGACUGCCUUCGUAAGGAGGAGGAAGGUGAGGACGACGUCAAGUCAUCAUGGCCCUUACGGCUAGGGCAACACACGUGCUACAAUGGCCAGGACAAUGA